rnacentral:rRNA from 1 species
CACGUAGUUAGCCGGGGCUUCUUAGUCAGGUACCGUCCGUUUUCUUCCCUGCCGAUAGAAGUUUACAUACCGAGAUACUUCUUCCUUCACGCGGCGUCGCUGCAUCAGGGUUUCCCCCAUUGUGCAAUAUUCCCCACUGCUGCCUCCCGCAGGAGUCUGGGCCGUGUCUCAGUCCCAGUGUGGCCGUCCGCCCUCUCAGGCCGGCUACCGAUCGUCGGUUUGGUGGGCCGUCACCCCGCCAACUGCCUAAUCGGACGCGGACUCAUCGCGCACCGCAAAUUGCUUUCCGCGCUGCGUCAUGCGACGCUGCGCGCAUAUGCGGCAUUAGCAGCCGUUUCCGGCUGUUAUUCCCCUGUGCGCGGCAGAUUGUCCACGCGUUACUCACCCGUCCGCCACUAAGCUGCGCGAAUGCUCCCACCGAAAUGUUCGCUCUCACGCGCUCCGUUCGACUUGCAUGUGUUAGGCACGCCGCCAGCGUUCAU